rnacentral:tRNA from 1 species
GGCCUCGUAGCUGGAGCAUGCGCGUACAAAGCGUGGGCGGCGUCCAUGCGUGGGUUCGAAUCCCACCGAGGCUA